AAGUAUGGGGAAAGUUAUCCUCAUAACAAUGUUCAUUGAUUACUAGGGACACUUAGCUUUCAUGGUUCCUUUGAACCACACACAUUUUCUUCUUACAAUUAGUCCUUUUAUCAUGUUGCUUGAAUAAAUUAUUUUCCUCGAUCACUAUAUUAUUGUAUACUACAUAACUAUAUUUUUAAAAACUAAAAAGUGUCAAUAAUUUCAUGGUUAUUAAUACUGCAAAAUAUGCUGUUCUCUUUAUAAAGUGGAACUAUCAAUUACACUAAUAAUGCAAGACUAUGAAAACCAACUUUUAGCAUAUCAUUUCCUGCAGUAAAUCUAACUCACAAAGAACUUAGUCAGGAAGAGUAUAAAAUAUCAGCUAAAUACCUCGUCUGAGAGUGAAAAAAAAGUCAUAUUACACAGCUAGAGGACAUUAGCUCAAGAUCCAUCAUAACUACAAUCAUAACUAUAACCUAUUUUUGUGGACACACAAUUCUUAUGAAACUUUACCACAUUUCUAUUUACUUGGUCAAAACAUUAACUUCAAACAUUGAUGGUUUUCUUUCUUCCAUAUGUCUAAAAAUACCCUUACAUAACAUUACAUCAUUUCUUUUUUUUGUCUUUUAUUUACUUAUUUAUUUACACUCCAGAUUUUAUCCCCUCCCCCAGUCCACCCUCCAAGUGUUCCACAUCCCAUACCUCCUCUCCACACCUCUGUCUCCACAAGAAUGCACCCCCCUCCC
rnacentral:lncRNA from 1 species